rnacentral:rRNA from 1 species
UAACGAAUCUUCCGCAAUGGGCGCAAGCCUGACGGAGCAAUGCCGCGUGUGGGAUGAAGCGUCUCUGACGUGUAAACCACUGUCAGGGGUUAGAAACAAUGAUCAACCCCAAAGGAAGUGGCGACUAACUCUGUGCCAGCAGCCGCGGUAAUACGAAGGGGGCUAGAGUUGUUCGGAUUUACUGGGCGUAAAGCGCGUGUAGGCGGGUCGUUAAGUUGGGGGUGAAAUCCCGAGGCUCAACCUCGGAACUGCCUUCAAAACUGGCGACCUGGACCUAAGUAGAGGCAAGUGGAAUUGCGAGUGUAGAGGUGAAAUUCGUAGAUAUUCGCAGGAACACCAGUGGCGAAGGCGACUUGCUGGACUUAUGGUGACGCUGAGACGCGAAAGCGUGGGGAGCAAACAGGAUUAGAUACCCAUGUAGUCCCUGAGCGGGCUGGCAAGGCGCAU